GCCUGGGUGGCUCAGUUGGUUAAGUGUCUGACUUCACCUCAAAUCAUGAUUUCAUCAUGGUUUGUGGGUUCGAGCCCCACAUCGGGCU
rnacentral:tRNA from 1 species